rnacentral:rRNA from 1 species
UGUGAGCGCGGGGACACGAGGUGGUGUGAUAGGGAGGGGUCAAUCUGUAAUCGGAAGUACUGGGCGUAAAGGGUGGGGAGGCGGGGUAUUAAGUCAGAAGUGAAAUCCCAAGGCUCAACCUAGGAACUGCUUUUGAAACUAAUAAACUAGAGUAUCGGAGAGGGAGGUAGAAGUGCAGGUGUAGCGGUGAAAUGCGUAGAUAUCUGGAGGAAUACCAGUGGCGAAGGCGACCUCCUGGACGAAAACUGACGCUCAAGCGCGAAAGCAUGGGGAGCAAACAGGAUUAGAUACCCGGGUAGUC